AUUUUCUGUAUCCAUUCCUCUGUUGAAGGGCAUCUGGGUUCUUUCCAGCUUCUGGCUAUUAUAAAUAAGGCUGCGAUGAACAUAGUGGAGCAAGUGUCUUUUUUAUAUGUUGGGGCAUCUUUUGGGUAUAUGCCCAAGAGAGGUAUAGCUGGAUCCUCAGGCAGUUCAAUGUCCAAUUUUCUGAGGAACCUCCAGACUGAUUUCCAGAAUGGUUGUACCAGUCUGCAAUCCCACCAACAAUGGAGGAGUGUUCCUCUUUCUCCGAAUCCUCGCCAGCAUUUGCUGUCACCUGAGUUUUUGAUCUUAGCCAUUCUCACUGGUGUGAGGUGAAAUCUCAGGGUUGUUUUGAUUUGCAUUUCCCUUAUGACUAAAGAUGUUGAACAUUUCUUUAGGUGUUUCUCAGCCAUUCGGCAUUCCUCAGCUGUGAAUUCUUUGUUUAGCUCUGAACCCCAUUUUUUAAUAGGGUUAUUUGUCUCCCUGCGGUCUAACUUCUUGAGUUCUUUGUAUAUUUUGGAUAUAAGGCC
rnacentral:lncRNA from 1 species